GAUGAACGCUGGCGGCGUGCCUAAUACAUGCAAGUCGAGCGAACAGAUAAGGAGCUUGCUCCUUUGACGUUAGCGGCGGACGGGUGAGUAACACGUGGGUAACCUACCUAUAAGACUGGGAUAACUUCGGGAAACCGGAGCUAAUACCGGAUAACAUUUGGAACCGCAUGGUUCUAAAGUGAAAGAUGGUUUUGCUAUCACUUAUAGAUGGACCCGCGCCGUAUUAGCUAGUUGGUAAGGUAACGGCUUACCAAGGCAACGAUACGUAGCCGACCUGAGAGGGUGUACGGCCACACUGGGACUGAGACACGGUCCAGACUCCUACGGGCGGCAGCGGUAGGGAAUCUUCCGAGAUGGGCGAAAGCCUGCCGGAGCAACGCCGCGUGGGUGAUGAAGGGUUUCGGCUCGUAAAACUCUGUUAUUAGGGAAGAACAAAUGUGUAAGUAACUGUGCACGUCUUGACGGUACCUAAUCAGAAAGCCACGGCUAACUACGUG
rnacentral:rRNA from 1 species